rnacentral:lncRNA from 1 species
ACGUUCCUGAACGGUGUGUCUAUCCGUUGGUAAUUGAACGGAAUGAAGAAAGAAUGCGCACGCUUUCGGUCGAUUCUCGUUCGAAAUACGGUGGCUAUCAUCUAUGGAUAGAAGUGGUCUUCAGCCACGUAUGGUAAAAAUUUAGCCGAGAACAAGAUAAAUUAUAUUUGUUUAGCAAAUCCGGAGAGAAAAAUGUACCCCGAUCGAUUGGAAGCCCGAUAGCAAUUUGGAGGACCCGGGUUCGAGUCUCGGGUCCCACCCCUUGAAAACAUUUAUUAUGGGGAUUCCCGUCUUCCAUCAUCCGGUUGACCCCUCCGCAGAGGUGAGCAGUCUGUGGAAGGGAUCUCUUCUUCUCUCUCUCUUCUUUUCUCUCUAUUUGGAGGUUGUAGUUGACCUUUGUCCUCCGAACGACUGCGAGGUUUUAAAAUCGGUUGGUAUUCCGGACGUAUUUUUCAAGAGGUUUGGUGUGAGUAACGAAUGGAACGCACUGUGAUGGCC